UACAUACUUUUGCACGGUGAAACCGCGAAUGGCUCAUUAAAUCAGUUAUGGUUUCUUAGAUCGUUUCUUUUACAUGGAUAACUGUGGUAAUUCUAGAGCUAAUACAUGCAAAAAGCUCCGACCGUAUGGGAAGAGCGCUUUUAUUAGACCAAAACCAAUGGGGUCGCAAGAUCCCUUUGUUUGGUGACUCUGGAUAACUUUGUGCUGAUCGCAUGGCCUAGAGCCGGCGACGCAUCUUUCAAGUGUCUGCCCUAUCAACUUUCGAUGGUAAGCGAUUUGCCUACCAUGGUUGUAACGGGUAACGGGGAAUCAGGGUUCGAUUCCGGAGAGGGAGCAUGAGAAAUGGCUACCACAUCUACGGAAGGCGGCAGGCGCGCAAAUUACCCACUCCUAGAACGGGGAGGUAGUGACGAAAAAUAACAAUACCGGACUCUAAGAGGCUCGGUAAUUGAAAUGAGUACAGUUUAAAACCCUUAACGAGGAUCUAUUGGAGGGCAAGUCUGGUGCCAGCAGCCGCGGUAAUUCCAGCUCCAAUAGCGUAUAUUAAAGUUGUUGCAGUUAAAAAGCUCGUAGUUGGAUCUCGGGUACUAGCAUGUGGUACGCUUUACUGCUGUUACUAUAUGUCUGGUCCUAAUCAAUCGGUUGGCCGUUGAUGCCCUUCAUUGGGUGUUUUCGGUAGCCGGUACGUUUACUUUGAGAAAAUUAGAGUGCUUAAAGCAGGCUAUACGCCUGAAUAAUGUUGCAUGGAAUAAUAGAAUAGGACCUCGGUUUUAUUUUGUUGGUUUUGUAGAGCAUUGAGGUAAUGAUU
rnacentral:rRNA from 1 species